UACGAAGGGGGCUAGCGUUGUUCGGAAUCACUGGGCGUAAAGGGCGCGUAGACGGCUUUAUAAGUCGGGGGUGAAAGCCUGUGGCUCAACCACAGAAUUGCCUUCGAUACUGUAUGGCUUGAGACCGGAAGAGGUAAGUGGAACUGCGAGUGUAGAGGUGAAAUUCGUAGAUAUUCGCAAGAACACCAGUGGCGAAGGCGGCUUACUGGUCCGGUUCUGACGCUGAGGCGCGAAAGCGUGGGGAGCAAACAGG
rnacentral:rRNA from 1 species